rnacentral:rRNA from 1 species
UACGUAGGUCCCGAGCGUUGUCCGGAUUUAUUGGGCGUAAAGCGAGCGCAGGUGGUUUAUUAAGUCUGGUGUAAAAGGCAGUGGCUCAACCAUUGUAUGCAUUGGAAACUGGUAGACUUGAGUGCAGGAGAGGAGAGUGGAAUUCCAUGUGUAGCGGUGAAAUGCGUAGAUAUAUGGAGGAACACCGGUGGCGAAAGCGGCUCUCUGGCCUGUAACUGAUACUGAGGUUCGAAAGCGUGGGGAGCAAACAGG